rnacentral:lncRNA from 1 species
CUCGCAGCAACCAAAGCACAGACAGCUUCCCAAUUCCCCAUCUCUGACUGCUCCUUAGCAUUAGCCUCUAGGAAACUCAGAUGAAAACCAGGCAGCUUACCCUUCUCCUUCAGAUUACCCUUCACAACCUCUGGACUCAGAUAGAAGGCACGAGAAAUCCCACCAAUAUCAGGUUCUUCCUUAGUAACACGGAAAGCGCACUUGAUGCCUGAUCUGAUAUCAAAAUAUCAGCAUAAUCUUCCAACAUCGGCCCUAGCACGUAAUCUGGGAAGACGAAACAUCUCAGCUCGGGAUCGUAAAACUGAAGUAGAGUAUGGAUGGCGCUCCUGUCUCUGUCCAUGAGCCUGAAAACCACCUUCAGAAUACCCCCAUACACCUCACGAAACAACCCCACAUGGUCAGGAGUGAUCAACGCUAUCAUAUCCUUCAGCACACUAAUAUCCGGGUCAAAGAAACUGUAAGCAACAUCAUCCUUCAAGCCGGGUCUUCUCAUCUCUGAAUAGAAAGUCUCUCAGCCAAGAUCUUGAUCCAAAGGGUCCCU